rnacentral:rRNA from 1 species
UACGUAGGGAGCAAGCGUUGUCCGGAUUUAUUGGGCGUAAAGAGCUCGUAGGCGGCUUGGCAAGUCGGAUGUGAAACCCCCAGGCUCAACCUGGGGCCGCCAUUCGAUACUGCUAUGGCUUGAGUUCGGUAGGGGAUUGUGGAAUUCCCGGUGUAGCGGUGAAAUGCGCAGAUAUCGGGAGGAACACCAACGGCGAAGGCAGCAAUCUGGGCCGAUACUGACGCUGAGGAGCGAAAGCGUGGGUAGCAAACAGG